rnacentral:rRNA from 1 species
AGCGCAGGCGGUGACUUAAGUCUGAUGUGAAAGCCCACGGCUCAACCGUGGAAGGUCAUUGGAAACUGGGUCACUUGAAUAUAGAAGAGGAAAGUGGAAUUCCAUGUGUAGCGGUGAAAUGCGUAGAUAUAUGGGGGGAACACCAGUGGCGAAGGCGACUUUCUGGUCUAUUAUUGACGCUGAGGCUCGAAAGCAUGGGUAGUAAACA